GCGGCGGCGAGAGCCAGUCAAGGGCGCUCCGGAGAGUUGCCGCCAUCUUUGGGCUGCCCGCCCCCGCCCCACGGAGGAAGGGGCGCGACUAGGUGUCUUCGGAUUCCUGCGCGGUGCUAGGUUCUGAGGGGCAGGGGAACGUCGCCUCAGUUUGAGCCUAGGGUGGGGCAGGGCCUCGUCAUUGCCUCUACGGGGCGCUGGGGGUACCCAGUGACGGGGUGGUAGGGGGGAGGGGAAGACGGUGUAGACACCUUUGAUGAAUGGAGACCCUGCUGAGGCUUGAUGGCAGCUGCAACCGCACCUUCCUCGGCCUCCCUGACUGGCCCUCCCGGAGGCGUCCCUAAUCCGGGUCCCGACAAGGUACCCAGGGUCGGAGUCUGCGCACUUGUCUUUUGCCUGCGAAUCUCGCCACGCGGGAGCAGUCCGGGAGGACGUCCUUACAGCCCAAGACAUUUUCCGGAGAGUGUCGUGGGAAGUUGGCCCGUCGCAAUCUGGAAAUGCUGUAGUCCUUUGGAGUUACUAGGGGCACAUGCCCCAGGCCGGGGAGUAGCUGCCCCCCUCUCUGUGACCCAAAGGUACCAGCGUGAAAAGGUUCCAGUGUCUCAGGUGGGUCCAGAACAAGGUGGCUCCUGCUACAGGCCCUGAUGAACCCCAGCCUGGUCAUACUCAGAAAAUCGAAACCAAUGCACGCUUCCUGGGAGUUCACCCAGAUUCUGCACACACGAUUGGGAGCUGACGCUUGCCUCCAACCUCUGCUCAAGGCCAUUCCAGGAUGGCUGCCCUGGAGAGAAGGUCUUAUGUUGGGUGAAAUGGAAUGAAAUUCAUGAUCCUAGCUUCCAAUAUGGCAAGGCAAGCAGGAACACAAUGAGCUCUCUUUCCCAAGGCCACUGGGAUAGGGAACAGAUCAGAACUGACCUGGCCUUGACCACACAGAAGACACACAAUCUCUCAGUCAGGGUCGGGUCACCUGGGAAUAUACCCCAUCUGAAGAAGCAGAAAUGGGGUGGACAAGACUUUCGAUGUGGGGGACAAGAAGAGCAAAGGUGUGUGAGCAGGAAAGCCCCAGGCAUGUUUGAAGACAGUGAGCCAUCUGCUGUGUGGGGUCAGAGUGUUGGACACUGGUUAGACUGCUCCACGGAGGCCAACAUGCCAGGCUGGAAGGCCCAAAUUCUUCACAUUCAAGCAGAAGGUCUUUGAUGGCCUGGGACCUGUUCAAAGUCUGACCAUUCAAAGUCACACACAAAGCCUGUUAAAGAGCUAUGAGGACCCACAAACAAGGUGAUGGAAGUCCUGUCUACCUCAGGAAUUCCUGAGCCAUUGAAAUUGAGUAAUCAUUAUUGAGCACCUACUAUAAACCCAGUCCUGUUGCUAGGUGUGGUUGUCAGAUUUAUCUCUCUUAAUCUGUACAACUAAUCUUUGUCAUUCUGCUUUUAGAAACUGAGGAAACUGGGCCUCAGAGUGUUGGGAUCCUUACACCUCCAAUUUCUAGCUGUGUGACAUCAGCCAUAUUACUCUGCCUUUCAGUGCUUCCCUUACCUUAUAUAUAAACAGGGUGUAAUACCCAUAACAUCAACAUAAUUUCAAGGAUAAAAUGAUUUACUACAUUGAAGCACUCAAUCUCAUGCCUGACAUACGAAUAUACUGAACUCUCAAUAAAUAUCAGUUAUUGUUUUCUGUAAUGUGACACUUCAUGAUGACCUGAUUAAUGUCUUCCCACCUCUCACUAUGCUCUGAGAUACAUAAAGACAGAGGCCUUCUCAGGUUGUACUCACCAUACCCAAGUACAUGCCUGUAACAGUAAGAUCUUGGGAUGAAUAAAAGAAUAAGGCUAUGA